AAAGAAAGGAAGAAAGAAGAAGAAGGUGAAGAGGAACCCAUUUUAGAGCUUGAACAAGGGGUGUGAAGUUUGGGUGUUGAUCAUAUUGUGUUCUUGAUUUUACAAUCAAGAGAGGCUCGUUGAAAGAUUGUGAAAUUUCUUAGCUUGGACCUGAGGUAGCAAAUAGGAUUUCUUUAUGGCACGCGUGGUGACGUGAGGAGUUCUAUCAUCAUGGGGUGUAUGGCGUGGGGUAAUCCUAUGGACGGAAAAACGAUCAUCGUAGAACGCCAUUUAAAUUAUGUUUUGUUUAAGAGACUUUCCUAAAUUAUCAGUGGGACUCAGUUAUUUAAUUUUGUUUCUUUUAAACUUUGCAUAAAAAUUUAUGUUUUCUUUUAAAACUAAUGGCGCCAACUUGCAUGGUUUUAAGCAA